UGAUUUUGCACGAAUAUUACUCUAAUUAAUUCAUCUUUUUGAAUUAUCGAAGUCCCGAAACUUUUCUUUUUAACAAAAGCUCGGAUUGUGCGAUUCAAGAAAAAUCGACUUUUCUACGUACGGAAUUUUGGAAAACUUCCUUCAUGAAAGUUGUAGAGCUCGUCGAUACGAUCGCGUGCAUAUGUGGAAUGCAAUUUUCGGAGCUCGUAUGAUUAAGUUACGAUUAUUUGAAAUUAGGGAUUCUUUUUGAAAUAGAAAAUUAUAUUUUCUUCUUUCUUUUUUCUUUUCCUUUCCCUUUCCCCGGUCCCUCCUCUUUCUUUUCUUUCUUUUCCUUUUCUCCCCAUGGUGCGCACUACCUCUCACUCUCUCAUCCAUCAGUUCAUGCAACACUAGAAUAAUAUCCAAUAUUUAUUACUUGGUAUUUGAUUUUGAGUUAGUGGGUGUCGGUGGCAAUCAUCCUUUCAUCACUUUUCUGCUUCUUCUUCUUGGAUUCCAUGGGGGCAGCAGCAACAAGCAGCCCAUUAGGCGUUGUCUACCGCAGAAUAAAGAAAGAGAAGAGCAAAGAGUCUUUGCUUUAAUUGCGAUGAGACUUACCCAGAAGGUCACUUUUGCAAGAAAACAAUUAUGGCCAUUCUUGAGGCACCGGCACCACUCGAUACAGAUCGCACUACCACCUUCCUGUCUUCUCUUCCUUCUCCAUUCUCUUCUCUCUCCACUGAGAUUGCUUGCUCGGUCUAGUCGGCCACCGAGUUGACUCACUUCCUCGUCCUCCAGAGCAAGGAGCUCCAGUCCGUGCUCGAAGGAUCCGAUUCGAAGUUCGUCGACCUGUUUGUAAAAGAUUUGAGGUUUUGGUGUUUGAGAAGGGUUUGAGUACUGUGGGUGAGUGAGGGACAGUUCAGAGGUCCAAUCCAGUUAUAGAGUAAUGCUUUGGCUGCUUUGGAAGCUAUUGAUUUGGAUGUGGCUGAGGAGUUCUGCAUUUUUGGGAGGACUUCGGAUCUGUGGAGUUGAGAAAUGAGAGUGAGGGAGUGAGAGUUCGGUGGAGCUUGCAGAUUUUGAUGUUAAUGUGAUGAUGAUGUAGGUGAUGAUGAUGAUGAUGUGGGUGGUGAUGAUGGUAAUAAUGUAAAUGGAUGCUACCCUUGUGCUGCCGGAAUUGGAUGCAAACUCAUUUUGGCAUGAUGACAGAUUGAGUUACAUGAGCAUGAGGGCCAUGAGGUGCAGCAAUCAUCGAGUUCAUGACCUUGGCAAGAUUCGGGAUAAGGUGAUUGACGGUUUGAGUUGGUGGACGAUUGUGGAUCGUAUUUUGAGCUGAAUUGAAGACGCAGCGGGAUUAUCGAGCGGGUAAUCCUACAGGACAGGAGAACCAGGACGGUGAUCGUGCGGUUAG